CUGGUAGAGUCAAGGACGAUAACCAUAUUCAGAAAAGCGAGGAGAGGCGAACGAAUAUUUUGACAUUUUUGAGUUAUUUCCCCUCUAUGUUCGGUAAGAAUAAGGAGCGACAACCCACCCAGCACGUGAUAAGUGUUUAUAUGGGAAAAAAAAACACGAUGAGAGUGAGAGAGAGAAAAUAAAGACAUUUUAGACUUCAAGUCCUCCCAGCUCACUAGAAGUAUUGACGUUCAGCGCUACUUUCGACCAGGGUGGGAUAGUUGUGGCGGGCCAUAAAGAAGACUUCGCUGCUCAUCUACACACCCAAAAGGACAACAUAAACAUUCUUUUUUUCUGUAAUAUUUCGCUGACAACGCGGAAGCUGUGUAUCAAAGCGCUGAUCAAAAUGUUUCGUUGCUUUGCAAAAAAAAAAAGGAAAUAAAGAAGAAUACUUCACUUUUCAUGUCUGUGGUUGAGGGAUAGUGGCUCUAGUUUUGAAAGGAUAUAUUUCACGUGGAUGUCCCGGGAUCCUGCGCAUCGGGAAGAGAUCUACUUUCUUUAUCAUCGGUCAAACGUUGAAUGAAGACUGCCGACGCUGGUAAUGAAGCUUGUCUUUCUAAAGUGAUUGGCGAACUGUGUGGAACUUGGAUUUCUUGCUGUGACUUUGAUGUUUAAGUUGCAAGUGUCAACAGGUGAACAUCCAGAAAUGACCUGAACCAUCCUCAAAAGAAAGUUAACCUAGAAUGGUGAAGUGAAUAAAACUUUCAGACAAUGAACUAUUAUGAAAGCAUUAUUCAAAAUAACAAAAAUGUAGAAUGAACAACAAAAGACGUAACUCUGUAAUACUGUUGUGUCCCUUGUUUUAAAGGACGCACUAAUGUAAGGAUCGUUGCAUGGAGUUAGCUGUUGCAUCAUGGGACAAGACUUCUCUCUGGAGGAGCUUAAAACGAGUAUCAAAUUUGAGGGAACAUUGGACCAACUUCUCUCCAGCCUGGGGAAGCGCGUCAAGAGAGACAACUCAGCUCACCCAGAUGGAUACAUUGUGUACACGCGGCAUCGCACCCGCAGUGGGGCGCCCACCAUCAACAGAUGGUCAUAUGGAGAGGAAGAGCUCCGGCGCU
rnacentral:sRNA from 1 species